CAUGUGUAUACAUUAUGGUGUCUGUCUUCUGUAUCGCGCAUGUAAUUAUGCAUGGAUUGCUACGUCUUUAUCAUACGUAGGCUAUUGUCUGCGCUAUUUAAUAAUUAGGCCUACACACUGCGUAGGCCUACUGCAACUGCAUGGAUUAUUGUUGAGGUCUAUUUAAUGACACGUCUGGUCUGGUAAAAGUAUCCCAUGUAAUUCACAUCAAUAUUUUUAUCCCGCUGUGUUUCUACUUGACAUUCUCCUUUCGAACCGAUCAAGAAGUAAUAUCUAGACUAUUCUAUAGUAGCGUUAAAGAAUUUGUGUUUCAGAGUUGACUUUCUAUAUCCACUAGGUGGCAUCAGUUACCUUGGCUAGUUGGCUUAUCCGGUAAAGUUUGACCCGGAAGUGAUAGCGUUGGCGUUGGUUAGAAUUAUUUUUUAAAAAAAAAUGUUUGUUACGUGUGAGUGUGUUUGUGUGUAUCUGACUGUGGACCAAGCUACGUGCUCCUUGGAUGGUAUGUGGACUUUAUUAGCGAAAUACAAAGGACAUACUGUUUCUCUGGUCAGGGAAGAAGAAAAAGAAGAGGAAGAAGAUAGAGCUACUCCUGCGACUAUGUUGGUGUUGGGAUAGCAGAACUUUCUGUGCUCUCACGGUCCGUGGCGGUGGUUCUGGCAGCAAUUACCAGCUGAGUUCACACAGUGUCGUGGAAGAAUUGGCUGUGGACAUGUGAGAACUGGACACGGGCAGACAUAUCAAUGCCACGCCAUCUGCAUACCAGUGCCAUCUUUUCUGUCCUCCAGCAACGUCAUCAUGGAAUCUCAUAAAUAUGGUGAUAUGGCAGCGGAGUGGACGUGUGGGAUCUGGAGAUGAGAUCGCAAUCUCCAACAUCUCUAGCUACGUUUUCUGCUGAGAGAGAGAGAGAGAUGGGCCAAACACAUUUGAAUU